rnacentral:rRNA from 1 species
UACGUAGGGUGCGAGCGUUGUCCGGAAUUACCGGGCGUAAAGAGUUCGUAGGCGGUUUGUCGCGUCGUUCGUGAAAACUUGGGGCUUAACUCCAAGCGUGCGGGCGAUACGGGCAGACUUGAGUACUACAGGGGAGACUGGAAUUCCUGGUGUAGCGGUGAAAUGCGUAGAUAUCGAGAGGAACACCAGUGGCGAAGGCGAGUCUCUGGACGACUCCUGACACUGAGGCACGAAAGCUAGGGGAGCAAACAGG